rnacentral:rRNA from 1 species
GACGGAGGGCGCGAGCGUUGUUCGGAAUUACUGGGCGUAAAGCGCGCGCAGGCGGAUGGGCAAGUCGGAAGUGAAAGCCCGGGGCUCAACCCCGGGACUGCUCCCGAUACUGCUUGUCUAGGGACCGGUAGAGGCUGGUGGAAUUGCUGGUGUAGCGGUGGAAUGCGUAGAUAUCAGCAAGAACACCCGUGGCGAAGGCGGCCAGCUGGGCCGGAUCCGACGCUGAGGCGCGAAAGCGUGGGGAGCAAAC